ensembl:ncRNA T27E4.13 ncRNA
CUAAAAAUAGGAAAAAUUCAUAAGCAAGAUAACAGCCAACCGCAAUAUAUAUUGGCGAGACACUUUUUAUGACAAUUACGAAAAUG